GUUUAGUUUGAAUGACUUUAUUAUUAGUAUAUAAUGCAGAACAAAAAAACCUCACUGAAUUUACGGGUUAUCCAAACGUUUGACUGGUACUGUACUAUAACUCAAAGCUGAAUCAGCGGAAAAAAAUGAAACAAGAUCAGGCGAAAACAAAAGGCUGGGCUGUGGCGCCACCUGCAGUCUCAUUGGCUCGUCUUACAUUGGGGCUGUAGUAUCCUUCUCUUCUCUGUGUGUGUGUGUGUGUGCGUAUGUGUUUGCGCGCGCGCAUGUGUGAGUGUGUGUGUGUGCGCGCACGCGCGGGUGUGAUGUGAAGGAAACGAAACUAUAACUCAGGAACCUGAAACUCGCCUCUGACACAAUGGCAUUCGCUGUGGCAGCUUCCAGUAUCCAGGUCAGGACAGGGCGGUGGGCGGUGGGCAGCUCCUGGCUGUCUGUUCUCACAGUGCUGAUAUGUUUUGUUGUGUCGGCUGAACUGCAGGUAAGUGUUGAGCAGCAUAAUUAAAGAAAAAAAAUCUCUGUCAAUCAUGAAAAAAAUAUUUAUCAAACACCUAAAAAAUAUAGAUAACUUUUAACUGUUUCUUCUUAUUAUUUAUUUAUUUAUUGUUUACCAUAAAACUGAAUGGUGGUACUUACCUUCUGCAUUAGUUUUUUUCUGCGUGAAAUCUACCUACUACUUUAACUUUGAGUAAUAUUGUAUUCAUAAAGUAUCUAUAUAUAUAUCUUUUUACAUGAUAUGUAAAUGCCAUUAUCGAUUGAUUUUCUUUUAAAUUCUGGAGAUCUUUGAUUGUUGCUCCAGCAGGCACGUAAAAGUAUUAGUAUAAGUUAUCCUUACGUAAAAUAUUUGUCAUCUGACUUCAUGACAAACAUUUAACCUGAAAUUAACGUCUAUUGACGUUUGUGGCCAGCUGGGGCAUGUAAAUAGCCAUUUUCUUUUAUUUGGCACCUAUUUUUUUUUUAUCCAGCUGGCUGUACUAAAUCCCUACUUUCAGUGUCUCUCCAAUAAUAUUACUCCAGUGAAGUACAUACACAACAUUUGUUUUGUACACUUGUAAAGUAGUUCUACUUUGUUACUGUACAUCUAUGCCCAUCAUCACGGUUUCAAAGAGUUAAUCCAUUAACUAAAUUUAGUAGGAUCAGGAAAAUGGGC
rnacentral:lncRNA from 1 species